UGGGGACAUCCGAGGGUUUGGGGACACCCAGCCCCGGGGGGAAUUGGGGACAUCCGAGGGUUUGGGGACACGCAGCCCUGGGGAGGGUGAGGGUUUGGGGGCACCUGAGAAUUUUGGGGUGGAUGGGAUAGGAUGGGAUCAGGGAGCACCUGGAUGGGGUUGGGAAGCCCCCAAAUGGGAUUCGGGAGCACCUGGAUGGGGUCGGGGGUCCCCUACUCCUCCCGGUGGGGCUCGGGAAUCGCCCCCAUGCCUCCCUCGGUCCCUCUGUCCCGGUGUGGAAUUCCGGGAUGCUGAUCCCGUCCCUCCCCGCAGCCCCCCCGGAGGGUCCCUCCCCGCUCCCGGGGUCCCCGCGGCGCCAGGAAGAGCCGGGAGAGCUGGAGCGGCUCCUGGAGCUGGGGACACCCGGCCGCGCCGGUGGCUGCUCCCGGGGGGGUUCCCGCUUCCCGAUGGAUUCCUGGGGUUUUUUACGUGGGUUUUGUACUUUUUUAGGGAUUCUGGGGGGCGGGACAGGGACCUUUGGUGAGGGUAUUAAACGUGUCACUGGGUGCCACCAGGGUUUGUGUCCUUGGGUGUCCGUGUGUCCGUGCGUGUUCCUGGGGUGUGUCCCCUCGGGUGUCCCCAGUGUCACCAGGUGCCUGUUUGUCCCCAGGAUGUCUCCCCUGGGCAUCCCGAGUGUCCCCAAGUGUCCAUGUGUCCCCAGGAUGUGUCCCCUGGGCAUCCCGAGUGUCCCCAGGUGUCCAUGGAAUGUGUCCCCUCAGGUGUCCCAAGUGUCCCCAGCUGUCCACGAGUCCCCUCAGGUGUCCGUGUGUCACCAGGAUUUGUGUCCUCGGGUGUCUGUGUGUCCCUGGGAGGCACCCCAAGUGUCCCCACGAUGUGUCCUUGGGUGUCCCUGCAUCCCUGGGAUGUGUCCCCUCGGGUGUCCGGAGUGGGUGUCCCCAGGUGUCCGUGUGUCCCCAGGAGCUGUCCCCUCAGGUGUCCGUGUGUCCCUGGGGUUCUGGCCAUCCCUGUGUGUCCCCACAUUUGUCACUGGGAUGUGUCCCGGGGUGUCCCAGACAGACCCCAGGCGUGGGUGGCCCCAGGAGGAGGAGGAGACACCCCAAAGUGCCCAAGGCAGGUGGCAGCGGGCACAGAAAGAGCCAUUUUUAACCCCAAAAUGCUCCCGUGUCACCCCAAACCUCCCUUCCCCUUCCCAGGGGUCUGGAUUCCCGGGAAUGCUGAGGGUGACAGGAGGUCCCCAAGGGAGAGGGGACAUCCCAAGCCACGUCCCCUCUGUGGCCCCGCCCGGCGUCGGUUUUGGGGUUCGGGGUCUUUUGGUUGUUUUGUUUUUCUUUUGAUUUUUUAUUUUUUUCUCUUUUUUUGCUCCUUUUUUUUUUUACAUAAAAAGUUCCGUAAAAAUUGGAUAAAGUAAAAUGCUCGAAGCAGUAAAAUCAAUCUUAUCAACAUGGCCAGAAAUCCGCAGUAUUUACAGGGAAAACGGGAGGAAAACCUCGCGGAACCAAAAGGAAAACCAAGGAAACAACCCCAAAAAAAAAACCAAAAAAAACAAAAAAAACCUUGGGAAUAACCCCCAAAGUCUCCUGCCAAACGUUCCCGUGGGAUCGGCACGUUUGGGGCUGAAAGCAACGGGAAAAAAGCAAAUUAUUAUCAAUAUAUUCACAUAUACGUUAAAAUAUAAUACAGAGCUUGGGAGGAGAGCCGGGCUCAGCAAAGCCUGGAUCGGGAAAAGCAGGCUUGGGAAAGCCCGGCUCGUCCGCGGCGGCGGGAACGGAGUUUGUUUUCCUUAAAAAAACAAAAAUUUAUCAUCAUCAUCAUCAUCAAUUCACAGGUUGGUGGCUCGGAAGGGCGAAUCCCGGUGGGACUCGGGGCUCCCGAGGGCCGGGGGGUCAUUCCAGGGGCUAUUCCAGCUCCGUGUCCUCUUUGGGCUUGUAGAGGAUCCCGAAUUUCUGCAUGUACUUCUUGAUGUAUUCCUUGGUUUUGUGUUUGACGUUCUCGUUGCACUCCAGGUCCUCGGGGUUCUUGCAGUACUUGAGCUCCUUGUUCAUCACUCCGUGGGUCAGCUGCGGAGAGGCCGGGAAUGCCGCGGGAAUGCCGCGGGAAUGCCGGAGUCAGGCCCGGAAUUCCCAGCGAGCCGAGGCCUGGGCACUCCCCAAGCCACUGUGCUGCUACUUCCCAAAUAUUUCUGCUGAUUUCCAAAUGUUCCCUGAGCUACUGUCGUAUUACUCCUCAAAUAUUCCUCAAAUUUCCCCAAAUAUCCCCCAAAUAUUCCUCAAAUUUCCCCAAAUAUCCCUCAAAUAUUCCCCAAAUAUUCCCCAAAUACCCUUCAAAUAUUCCCCAAAUACCCCUCAAAUAUUCCCCAAAUAUCCCUGAAAUAUUCCUCAAAUAUCCCUCAAAUAUCCCCCAAAUAUCCCUCAAAUAUUCCCCAAAUAUCCCCCAAAUAUUCCCCAAAUAUCCCUCAAAUAUUC
rnacentral:lncRNA from 13 species